ACAGAGGUCUCAAGCGUUGUUCGGAUUUACUGGGCGUAAAGGGUGUGUAGGCGGUUGGGUAAGUCUAAAGUGAAAUCUCUAAGCUUAACUUAGAAAAUGCUUCGGAUACUAUCCGGCUAGAGGAUUGGAGAGGAGAUUGGAAUUCUCGGUGUAGCAGUGAAAUGCGUAGAUAUCGAGAGGAACAUCAGUGGCGAAGGCGAAUCUCUGGACGAAUCCUGACGCUGAGGCACGAAAGCUAGGGUAGCAAACGGGAUUAGAUACCCCGGUAGUCCUAGCUGUAAACUGUGCGCACUUGCUGUGAGCGGGAUUAAACUCGCUCGUGGCGUAGCUAACGCGAUAAGUGCGCCGCCUGGGAAGUACGGUCGCAAGAUUA
rnacentral:rRNA from 1 species